rnacentral:rRNA from 1 species
ACGGGUGAGUAACACGUGGGAACGUGCCCUUCGGUUCGGAAUAACUCAGGGAAACUUGAGCUAAUACCGGAUACGCCCUUAUGGGGAAAGGUUUACUGCCGAAGGAUCGGCCCGCGUCUGAUUAGCUUGUUGGUGGGGUAACGGCCUACCAAGGCGACGAUCGGUAGCUGGUCUGAGAGGAUGAUCAGCCACACUGGGACUGAGACACGGCCCAGACUCCUACGGGAGGCAGCAGUGGGGAAUAUUGGACAAUGGGCGCAAGCCUGAUCCAGCCAUGCCGCGUGAGUGAUGAAGGCCUUAGGGUUGUAAAGCUCUUUUGUCCGGGACGAUAAUGACGGUACCGGAAGAAUAAGCCCCGGCUAACUUCGUGCCAGCAGCCGCGGUAAUACGAAGGGGGCUAGCGUUGCUCGGAAUCACUGGGCGUAAAGGGCGCGUAGGCGGCCGAUUAAGUCGGGGGUGAAAGCCUGUGGCUCAACCACAGAAUUGCCUUCGAUACUGGUUGGCUUGAGACCGGAAGAAGACAGCGGAACUGCGAGUGUAGAGGUGAAAUUCGUAGA